rnacentral:tRNA from 1 species
GGUCUUAUAGUCAAUAAUGAUUUUAAAUUGCAAAUUUGAAGGUAAAGAAAAUUUUAAGGCUU